CACACACACACCCACCCAAUAAAAAACAAAAAAUUCAAGUCGUUACAAAAGCUUUUACUGAACAAACCCAAAUUUACUCAUCAACAGCCAAUAAAUUCUUACUUGGGGAUGAUUAAUUUCUCAGCAAUUUACACCAUAUGUAGCCAUUUGUAGCGAAUUCAAUCUAUUUCCUCGUGAACUGUACUUCUAUGAACUCUGCAAAAUAGGCAAUGUUUCUAUUCUUUAUUACGAAACAGUAAUAAUUUCUGUUCAUUAAUGGCCUGAAGAUUGUGGUAGACGGAAAGAACCCCCUGCAUAAAGCAUUUGGUAAACUGGCCGUAAUCUAACUGUAAGGAUUAUGCUCAGAAUGGUGCCCAACCCACAAAUGCCAGCUAAAACUAGGAAUGUCACCUUGAAACAAUCAGGACCUACACAGGUAGAACUUCCUUGCUUGGUAGCUUCUGCAUCAUACACAUAACCAGCAAGCAGCCCGGAUAAAACAAGUGCACCGAUAGGAUUUCCCAGCAACAUAAAGGCAUAAAUUAUGCCAAAAUGUUUCAAGCCGAAAAGUUCAGAGGCAGUUGGCACCAUUAUGGAAUAUAGAAUACCAUAGCAGACACCGAUCAUAGCAGUUGCAACAUAAAGAAUACCAUCAAGAGCUAAUGCAAAUAGAAUGAAUAUCAGGACCAUGAUCAUUUGUGCAAGUGUCAUCCACACAGUUCGAGGAAUUGUUUUUGACCUGACAAAGUGCUCAGAAACAGCACCCGAGCCAAGACGGCCAACAAAAUUGCAAAAGCUGAAGACAGCAAGCAAUAUUGUUGUAUCAUCAAGACCAUAUGCAAUCCCAAUUUGAGCCAAAUUAUUGAGAAUGGUAACUCCAGAACCAACUCCAAGAAAGUAUACCAACCAAAGAAGCCAGAAAUCAGCCUUGAUUAAAGCCUGGGCAAAUUUAAAAUCCUCCCCUCUCUUAGGUUUCCUUUUCUUUUUCACUGCUCCCUCUCCCUCAGCUAGAAGUAUUUCUACAUCUGAAGCAUCCUCACUAUCAAGAAAACUUCCAAGAUAUGAAGCUGAUGAAGAUGGUGUCAACAAAGGAUUUGUUGGGGCCGAUUCACCUACUGCUGAAACCAGACUAUCUGAAGAACCAGUUGCUGGGAUACGUUUCUCAGGUCUUACAGGAAAAAGAGUCAUUUUGAAAGGAAUUGCAAGAGGAGACAUCAAAAUAAUAACCAUUAUGGCAACUAAUAUGUAUGAAACAGUAUCACUUAAAGGAAUCACAUCACUUAUUACAGUGGAUAUGAGAAGAUAAAGGGCAAGCACAACACUUGCAGCUUGGGUGAAAAUGAAAUGGACAUGGACAGAAGAGUCUUCUCCAGAAGCUGGAGUACAGGGCCGAACAAAGAACAUCAUUGCUAGACAAAUAAUAGGAAUGCCAAUUGUAAGGAAUAGCAGAAGCUUUGAAGCAGAGUCACCAAGCACCAAAUUGAAAAGCACAGUAUAAACUGCAGCAGAGAUCCCAACAUAACCUUUGAGAAUGCCAGAAACAGUACCCCUACUGAGAGGGAAGUUUCUCAUAUUGGUUACAAGUACAGCUGUGCCAAACCAUGCGUUGCUAUUAGUGCCAACAACAAGUGCAAGCCAUAACAGCCAAUAAGGUAAACCGGAGACCGUUUGGCUAACAGCAAGCCAAAGAACGCCAUACCCCAAGAAACAAAAAACGACACCCACAGAAAGCACAGCCCAAGGGGGGAACUUGUUGAUGACAAUACCAGGGAUCAAACCCACAUUCUCUCCAAUAUCAUUAGCCACUCCAAGAAUUGUUACCUGCUGCUGGUUGAAUCCAAGCACUGAUUUGAGAGCAGUAGAGUAGAGUGGGAAGUUGUAGCCAUUCCCUGCAGCCACCUGCACCCAUGCAGCGGCUGCCAAUCCCACCCAAGGUGGCCUACUCCCAGGUUUAAGCACUAUAUUUGGCAUCUUAGAUCACAUGAUAUGAUAUUUUUCUUGUUAAAUGGUCUCUGUUUCCACACCCGAAAGGGAACUUUUAGAGUUCUCUUUGGAUAUAGAUCUUCUCGUUCCAACUCCCAACUAGGGCAAGACAUACAUAUGGAUGCAUACAAAGAGAGCGGAAAGCCUGUAGAGGAUAGGUGAAGAUUUAACGAUUAGCCGGCCCCCAGUCAAACUAAAUUUUUUUCCCUGUGUGAAAGAAAAAA
rnacentral:misc_RNA from 1 species